rnacentral:rRNA from 1 species
CCUACGGGGUGCAGCAGUGGGGAAUAUUGGACAAUGGGCGAAAGCCUGAUCCAGCCAUGCCGCGUGUGUGAAGAAGGCCUUCGGGUUGUAAAGCACUUUCAGUGGGGAAGAAAGCCUUGGGGCUAAUACCCUCGAGGAAGGACAUCACCCACAGAAGAAGCACCGGCUAACUCCGUGCCAGCAGCCGCGGUAAUACGGAGGGUGCGAGCGUUAAUCGGAAUUACUGGGCGUAAAGCGCGCGUAGGCGGUCUGAUAAGCCGGUUGUGAAAGCCCCGGGCUCAACCUGGGAACGGCAUCCGGAACUGUCAGGCUAGAGUGCAGGAGAGGAAGGUAGAAUUCCCGGUGUAGCGGUGAAAUGCGUAGAGAUCGGGAGGAAUACCAGUGGCGAAGGCGGCCUUCUGGACUGACACUGACGCUGAGGUGCGAAAGCGUGAGUAGCAAACAGGAUUAGAUACCCCAGUAGUC